GAUGAAGAACGUAGUGAAAUGCGAUACGUAAUGUGAAUUGCAAAUUCAGUGAAUCAUCGAGUCUUUGAACGCACAUUGCGCCCCCUGGUAUUCCGGGGGGCAUGUCUGUCCGAGCGUCAUUGCUGCCCUCAAGCACGGCUUGUGUGUUGGGCCCCGUCCUCCGAUCCCGGGGGACGGGCCCGAAAGGCAGCGGCGGCACCGCGUCCGGUCCUCGAGCGUAUGGGGCUUUGUCACCCGCUCUGUAGGCCCGGCCGGCGCUUGCCGAUCAACCCAAAUUUUUAUCCAGGUUGACCUCGGAUCAGGUAGGGAUACCCGCUGAACUUAAGCAUAUCAAUAAGCGGAGGA
rnacentral:misc_RNA from 1 species